rnacentral:rRNA from 1 species
UACGUAGGGGGCUAGCGUUGUCCGGAAUCAUUGGGCGUAAAGAGCGUGUAGGCGGCUUGGUAAGUCCGCUGUGAAAGUCCAGGGCUCAACCCUGGAAUGCCGGUGGAAACUGUCGAGCUAGAGUCCGGAAGAGGCGAGUGGAAUCCCUGGUGUAGCGGUGAAAUGCGCAGAUAUCAGGAGGAACACCAAUGGCGAAGGCAGCUCGCUGGGACGGUACUGACGCUGAGACGCGAAAGCGUGGGGAGCAAACAGG